GCUCAACCGGGGAGGGUCAUUGGAAACUGGGGAACUUGAGUGCAGAAGAGGAGAGUGGAAUUCCACGUGUGGCGGUGAAAUGCGUAGAGAUGUGGAGGAACACCAGUGGCGAAGGCGACUCUCUGGUCUGUAACUGACGCUGAGGCGCGAAAGCGUGGGGAGCGAACAGGAUUAGAUACCCUGGUAGUCCACGCCGUAAACGAUGAGUGCUAAGUGUUAGAGGGUUUCCGCCCUUUAGUGCUGCAGCAAACGCAUUAAGCACUCCGCCUGGGGAGUACGGUCGCAAGACUGAAACUCAAAGGAAUUGACGGGGGCCCGCACAAGCGGUGGAGCAUGUGGUUUAAUUCGAAGCAACGCGAAGAACCUUACCAGGUCUUGACAUCCUCUGACAACCCUAGAGAUAGGGCUUCCCCUUCGGGGGCAGAGUGACAGGUGGUGCAUGGUUGUCGUCAGCUCGUGUCGUGAGAUGUUGGGUUAAGUCCCGCAACGAGCGCAACCCUUGAUCUUAGUUGCCAGCAUUCAGUUGGGCACUCUAAGGUGACUGCCGGUGACAAACCGGAGGAAGGUGGGGAUGACGUCAAAUCAUCAUGCCCCUUAUGACCUGGGCUACACACGUGCUACAAUGGGCAGAACAAAG
rnacentral:rRNA from 1 species